UACGGGGGGGGCAAGCGUUGUUCGGAAUUACUGGGCGUAAAGGGCGCGUAGGCGGGCGGGCAAGUCUCUCGUGAAAGCCCACGGCUCAACCGUGGAAUUGCGGGGGAUACUGCCUGUCUUGAGUCCGGGCGAGGACGGUGGAAUUCCCAGUGUAGCGGUGAAAUGCGCGGAUAUUGGGAGGAACACCGGUGGCGAAGGCGGCUCUCUGGACCGGUACUGUCGCUGAGGCGCGAAAGCUAGGGGAGCAAGCGGG
rnacentral:rRNA from 1 species